AUGCUGAGGAAUCCAAUUUCUUUGAGUGAUUUGAAUGUCUCUAAAACUUUUGACCUUCCUCCACUAAAUGAUGAUAGCAUGCGGAGAGCUAUAUAUGGCGAUCGCCGAUCUUCCUACACGAUCUUUUUCCAGAGAAGAGGUGGAGCUGAUUUUAAGUUUGAUUCUCGGUUUGAUGAUUUGGAAUAUGUUCGCCAAAAGUGUGAUAGAAGGACCUUGAGAAAUUUUAUGCAUUUCCAACUCUCUUCCUUGUGCAAUUCUCCGAGUUGCUUCUCAAGUAUCCUUUUUGUUCUUCAUGUUUUCUCAUUAGCUAGAAGCCUAUAA
rnacentral:rRNA from 1 species